AUACGGAGGGUCCAAGCGUUAUCCGGAAUCAUUGGGUUUAAAGGGUCCGUAGGCGGGCAAUUAAGUCAGAGGUGAAAUCCCACAGCUCAACUGUGGAACUGCCUUUGAUACUGGUUGUCUUGAAUUAUAGUGAAGUAGAUAGAAUAUGUAGUGUAGCGGUGAAAUGCUUAGAUAUUACAUUGAAUACCGAUUGCGAAGGCAGUCUACUAACUGUAUAUUGACGCUGAUGGACGAAAGCGUGGGGAGCGAACAGGAUUAGAAACCCUAGUAGUCC
rnacentral:rRNA from 1 species